CCUACGGGUGGCAGCAGUGGGGAAUAUUGCACAAUGGGGGAAACCCUGAUGCAGCAACGCCGCGUGAGUGAAGAAGUAUUUCGGGAUGUAAAGCUCUAUCAGCGGGGAAGAAAGUGACGGUGCCUGACUACGAAGCCCCGGCGCACUCCGGGCCAGCAGCCGCGGUAAUACGGAGGGCGCAAGCGUUAGCCGGAUUUGCUGGGCGUAAAGGGAGCGGAGACGGUUGCGCAAGUCAGAUGUGAAAGCCCGGGGCUCAACCUCGGGACUGCAUUUGAAACUGGCACGCUAGAGUGCCGGAGAGGGAGGUAGAAUUCCAAGUGUAGCGGUGAAAUGCGUAGAUAUCAGGAGGAACACCGGUGGCGAAGGCGGCUCACUGGACGGAAACUGACGUUGAGGCUCGAAAGCGUGGGGAGCAAACAGGAUUAGAUACCCGUGUAGUC
rnacentral:rRNA from 1 species